rnacentral:rRNA from 1 species
CGGGUGAGUAAUACAUCGGAACGUACCCAGUUGUGGGGGAUAGCUCGGCGAAAGCCGGAUUAAUACCGCAUACGACCUGAGGGUGAAAGCGGGGGAUCGCAAGACCUCGCGCAGUUGGAGCGGCCGAUGUCAGAUUAGCUAGUUGGUGGGGUAAAAGCCUACCAAGGCGACGAUCUGUAGCUGGUCUGAGAGGACGACCAGCCACACUGGGACUGAGACACGGCCCAG